ACCCCUACGGGGGGCAGCAGUCGGGAAUAUUGCGCAAUGGAGGAAACUCUGACGCAGUGACGCCGCGUGCAGGAAGAAGGUUUUCGGAUUGUAAACUGCUUUAGACAGGGAAGGAACAAGACAGUACCUGUAGAAUAAGCUCCGGCUAACUACGUGCCAGCAGCCGCGGUAAUACGGAGGAUGCGAGCGUUAUUCGGAUUUAUUGGGUUUAAAGGGUGCGCAGGCGGAGGUGCAAGUCAGCGGUCAAAUUGCGGGGCUCAACCCCGUACUGCCGUUGAAACUGCAUCCCUUGAGUGCGCGAGAAG
rnacentral:rRNA from 1 species